rnacentral:rRNA from 1 species
UGCAUAUCAAUAAGCGGAGGAAAAAAAACUAACAAGGAUUCCCCUAGUAACUGCGAGUGAAGCGGGAAAAGCUCAAAUUUAAAAUCUGAUGGUCCUUGUGGCUAUCCGAGUUGUAAUCUAGAGAAGUGCUAUCCGCACUGGACCGUGUACAAGUCUCCUGGAACGGAGCGUCAUAGAGGGUGAGAAUCCCGUCUUUGACACGGACUACCAGGGCUUAUGUGAUGCGCUCUCAAAGAGUCGAGUUGUUUGGGAAUGCAGCUCUAAAUGGGUGGUAAAUUCCAUCUAAAGCUAAAUAUUGGCGAGAGACCGAUAGCGAACAAGUACCGUGAGGGAAAGAUGAAAAGAACUUUGGAAAGAGAGUUAAACAGUACGUGAAAUUGUUGAAAGGGAAACGCUUGAAGUCAGUCACGUUGGCCAGGGAUCAACCUUGCUUUUGCUUGGCGUACUUUCUGGUUAACGGGUCAGCAUCAAUUUUGACCGGUGGAUAAAGGUCAGGGGAAUGUGGCAUCUUCGGAUGUGUUAUAGCCCUUGGUUGCAUACAUCGGUUGGGAUUGAGGAACUCAGCACGCCGCAAGGCCGGGUUUUACCCAC